rnacentral:rRNA from 1 species
UACGAAGGGGGCUAGCGUUGCUCGGAAUCACUGGGCGUAAAGCGCACGUAGGCGGACUCUUAAGUCGGUGGUGAAAUCCUGGAGCUCAACUCCAGAACUGCCUUCGAUACUGGGAGUCUCGAGUCCGGGAGAGGUGAGUGGAAUGCGAGUGUAGAGGUGAAAUUCGUAGAUAUUCGCAAGAACACCAGUGGCGAAGGCGGCUCACUGGCCCGGUACUGACGCUGAGGUGCGAAAGCGUGGGGAGCAAACAGGG